ACGUAGGGUGCGAGCGUUAAUCGGAAUUACUGGGUUUAAAGGGUGCGUAGGUGGGCAGGUAAGUCAGUGGUGAAAUCUCCGAGCUUAACUCGGAAACUGCCAUUGAUACUAUUUGUCUUGAAUUAUCUGGAGGUGAGCGGAAUAUGUCAUGUAGCGGUGAAAUGCUUAGAUAUGACAUAGAACACCAAUUGCGAAGGCAGCUCACUACGGAUAUAUUGACACUGAGGCACGAAAGCGUGGGGAUCAAACAGGAUUAGAUACCCUGGUAGUCCACGCCCUAAACGAUGGAUACUCGACAUCAGCGAUACACUGUUGGUGUCUGAGCGAAAGCAUUAAGUAUCCCACCUGGGAAGUACGAUCGCAAGAUUG
rnacentral:rRNA from 1 species